rnacentral:rRNA from 1 species
CGGAGGAUCCAAGCGUUAUCCGGAAUUACUGGGCGUAAGAGUUGCGUAGGUGGCAUUGUAAGUAAUAGUGAAAGCGUUCGGCUCAACCGGAUAACAUUAUUAAACUGCAAAGCUAGAGGACAAGAGAGGUCACUGGAAUUCCCUGUGUAGGAGUGAAAUCCGUAGAUAUAGGGAGGAACACCGAUGGCGUAGGCAGGUGACUGGCUUGUUCCUGACACUAAGGCACGAAAGCGUGGGUAGCAAACGGGAUU